GGGUCUGUCCAUCGGUCGGGCUUCACGGUCCGUACUGUUGAGAUGGGUUCCUACCUUCUGAAUAACCGGCAUGCCAUUCAGUUGGUGCGCCGGGGAAGCAGAGCUAUUACCUUGAAAAAAUUAGAGUGCUUAAAGCAGGCUAGUGCUUGAAUAGAUUAGCAUGGAAUAAUAAAAUAGGACGGCAUGGUUCUAUUUUGUUGGUUUCUAGGAUCACCGUA
rnacentral:rRNA from 1 species